CCUUUAAAAAUGUUUUCUGUAUCUGUUCACCUAAAUCUAUGAACAGGAAGUGAACUUAAAUACUCUUCUAGAAACUAAAAGCUGUAAGAACCAGCCUGAUGAAAGCAUCCUGGGUGAUGAAAAGUUUAUAGAUUUUCAAGUCCAUCCAAAGUAAGCUUCCUCAUCAGACUCAUCAUCAUCUAGAAGAGACAACAUGGCUAAGCCUGGCUCCAAACAGACCCAGAUGUACAGUCCAGAUGUACAGUGUUACCAACUGCUGUUGAAAAGUCCUCUUCAGCUUCACAUCACAUUAAAAAUAUUCAAUACACUCAUAUUUAAA